GUGCCAGCAGCCGCGGUAAUACGGAGGAUCCAAGCGUUAUCCGGAUUUAUUGGGUUUAAAGGGUGCGUAGGCGGCCUGUUAAGUCAGGGGUGAAAGACGGUGGCUCAACCAUCGCAGUGCCCUUGAUACUGAUGGGCUUGAUUACAGUUGAGGUAGGCGGAAUGUGACAAGUAGCGGUGAAAUGCAUAGAUAUGUCACAGAACACCGAUUGCGAAGGCAGCUUACUAAAGUGUGAAUGACGCUGAGGCACGAAAGCGUGGGGAUCAAACAGGAUUAGAUACCCUGGUAGUCC
rnacentral:rRNA from 1 species